rnacentral:lncRNA from 1 species
GGCACCGUCUCCUUGAAGUCUCCAAGUCCGAGGCAGCAGCCGGCGUUCAUCCCGCAGUGGCCCCGGCCACCCUGUCGUGUCCUUUUGCCCACUUCAUACAAACACAGCCGACAUCCACUGCUAAUUCCUGGGGGAGGAGUCAUCACGUGCGGCGCUCGUCAGCUGCCCCACCAGGGCUGUGGGCCUCAGGCUGGAGGCACCACAGAGAAAUGGCCAGCUCAUCUAGAGACAGAAGCAGACCAAGGGUGAGUUGCCAUCACAAAGCUUCGUGUCUUCACGGAACGAAAGAGAGAGGCAGGAAAAACACCCUCUUCCCACAGCAGUGAAACUGAGGGCUUCAUACGAAGAAAGCAGAACUUCGGCACGGCGCGGCAGGAGACAGACAGAGGAGGCGGGGCCACCACACCCGGUUGGGACAGGGGUGCUGCCACCAGAUGAUGACGGCAUCACUGUCCGGACCCGGCACCCGAGUGCAGCACCAUUGCUCUUCUAAGCAGCUCCCCGCCUCAGCUCUCUGAGAAUCACAACCCCGUGCCACAGCCCCAGUGAAGGGCAGAACAGCCACAGGG